rnacentral:misc_RNA from 1 species
AUUGCACAGCGAAUGUACUUUUGUGGCAUUGGAGCGAGAACCCUUGGAAUAGCAUAAAUAUCAGUAUCCGGUGGAGUAACAUACAUCUCUCUAAAAUCAUAAACAUCAUUAUCUGGGUCAGGCGGCUUCCUUAUGAAGAAAUCACAAUCCAUCAAGCUAAUUUUAUGAAACUCCUCCUCAUCAAUCCGGUAAUCAACAAUCUUUUCGGAAUCCCACCCCAGCGUGGAGACGAAACUCUUGCUAUCCACCAUGGCAAUGACCUCAUCUCCACCCGCAUCCGCUGCAACAGCAGCUGAGGGGUCAUAAUCGAGGUCGUAGUCUUUCUUAUUGUCCACCUCCUCCACUUCUUCCUCGUCCAUGUCGUAGUCGUCGGGCCCAACUUCAUCUGCGUCGCCUUCGUCGGCCUUGGGAAUAAAUGUAGUUGGGGUUCUGAAAGGUUUGGGGAAAUGAUAAGAAAUGGGUUUGAACUUGGAGGACGUGAAGAAUGGGAGGACAGUGGUGGCGUUGGUGGUGAUUAAGCUCGAUGGUUUAGUGGUGAGCUGUGGUGGAGAGAAGAGGUGCAGAGUGGUGGCGGUGGCCAUGGCGUGGCAAUGUUUGGGAGGUG